rnacentral:lncRNA from 1 species
AACAAGCUCCAUGACCAAUCUUCCUUUCCUUUUUGUUUGCUUUGCAUUCAUUUCUUGAGCUUGAAAAUGGUUAUCUGAAUUUAAUUAGAUCAUCAUGCACAAUAUUUUAGUGAAACAUGAAUAUAUGAACAAAACAUCAGGCCAAAGACCAUUUCUCAGUCUAAUUUAUUAUGUUACUUUGUUUGAGACUUAAAUUUUGUGAUUAUUUUUGUUCUUUGUUGUUUGUAUAGGUGAACCUCAUUUCUUCAUACUUGUGUUUCACCAAGGUAAAAGAAAUAUUUUCAAUUAAGUUUAAUUUGGUAUUUAUUUUAGUUUGUUGUUUUCUUCAAAAACAUAAUUACAUGAAUAUGUCAUUCCUAAAAGAAUUUAGGAUCAUACCAAAAAAAUUGUGGUUAUUUACUUUUGUGCAAAUAGACAAUGAAAUUCAUCGGAAUAUACAUAAGCAUACAAAAUUCAUAGAAGUUUCUAAUCAGUUAUAUUAUCUUCUCAUUAGAGACAUUGACAUACACAUCAAUAAAUAAUCUUAAUGAAGUGGAAACUCCAAUUGUAUAGAUGCAAAUAUUGCUUCAACAUUUAUAAUUCACUCAUAUUCUCUAAUAGGCAAGUAAAAAAGAAAAAAAAAAGAAUAAGCUCAAAGGUGUGCCAAGAAAAUUCUUUCAGGAUUGGAGUGAAAGAUGUUUACCUGCCAAGCACCCUGCAAUUCAAAAGAGAUGUUCCCAAACUGUCCAAAGCAUUGGAGCUACCUUGUCACACAACAGAACCACUCAAUACAAUCCUUUAUGAGAGAACAUAGGUCACACGAAUGAUGAACUCCCUUCACAAGGCAGCAUCAAGGACCAGGACAAAUUGAAAGAAAAAAAAAGGUUUUCAUAUCCAAAGUUGACAAAAAUGCAUGUUGCGAAUCAUUAAAAUGAAAUAGGAUUCAUGUUGGGAAUUGGGAUCCAUGUCUGAAAAUAAAAUAGAUACACAUAAAUUUGUAUGAAAUGAGGACUAUACACUCCUCCCCCUUAACUCAGACAAAAACAUAGAAAAUUUAGAUUUCUACUCUUAAUUUUGAUCAAUUUCCAUAGAAAUUAAUAUGCUCAGUAAGAAAUAUUAUAGACAAGAACUAUUAUAGACAGAUAAUAAUUUUGAUCAAUUAGAAUCAUUUGAUGAGAAACUCACAAAUGAAAAAAGUUAAGAGAUAAAUUUUAUCUUUAGAAAUAGUUUAUGCUUUGAAACUAAUUUUGAGAUAAAUUAAGAGAUAAG